rnacentral:rRNA from 1 species
CGGUUAAGUUAGAAAGGGCGCACGGUGGAUGCCUUGGUACUAGGAGCCGAUGAAGGACGGGACGAACACCGAUAUGCUUCGGGGAGCUGUAAGCAAGCUUUGAUCCGGAGAUUUCCGAAUGGGGAAACCCACCACUCGUAAUGGAGUGGUAUCCAUAUCUGAAUUCAUAGGAUAUGAGAAGGCAGACCCGGGGAACUGAAACAUCUAAGUACCCGGAGGAAGAG